AGGCACAGGAUGGGGUCAUGGUAGGCCAGG
rnacentral:piRNA from 1 species